rnacentral:rRNA from 1 species
UACGUAGGGGGCGAGCGUUGUCCGAAGUUACGUGGGCGUAAAGCGCGCGUAGGCGGUUCCUUAAAGUCUGGUGUGAAAGGUUCCAGGGCUCAACCCGAAGAGUGCACUGGAUACUGGGGGGACUUGAGUUUGGGAGAGGAGACUGGAAUUCCGUGGUGUAGCGGUGAAAAUGCGCAGAUAUCAGGAGGAACACCGGUGGCGAAGGCGGGUCUCUGGGCCCGUAACUGACGCUGAGGAGCGAAAAGCGUGGGGGAGCGAAACAGG